AUUGAACGCUGGCGGCAGGCCUAACACAUGCAAGUCGAACGAGUGGCGGACGGGUGAGUAAUGUCUGGGAAACUGCCUGAUGGAGGGGGAUAACUACUGGAACCGGUAGCUAAUACCGCAUACCAUCGGCUUUGCCCAGAUGUGAUUAGCUAGUCGGUGGGGUAACGGCUCACCUAGGCGACGCUCCCUAGCUGGUCUGAGAGGCUGACCAGCAACACUGGAACUGAGAAACGGUCCAGACUCCUACGGGAGGCAGCAGGGGGGAAUAUUGCACAAUGGGCGCAAGCCUGAUACAGCCAGGCCGCGUGUAUGAAGAAGGCCUUCGGGUUGUAAAGUACGUUCAGCGGGGAGGCGUUACCCGAAGAAGAAGCACCGGCUAACUCCGUGCCAGCCGCCGCGAUAAUAC
rnacentral:rRNA from 1 species